AGUGAACGCUGGCGGUAGGCCUAACACAUGCAAGUCGAACGGCAGCACAGUAAGAGCUUGCUCUUACGGGUGGCGAGUGGCGGACGGGUGAGGAAUACAUCGGAAUCUACUUUUUCGUGGGGGAUAACGUAGGGAAACUUACGCUAAUACCGCAUACGACCUACGGGUGAAAGCAGGGGAUCUUCGGACCUUGCGCGAUUGAAUGAGCCGAUGUCGGAUUAGCUAGUUGGCGGGGUAAAGGCCCACCAAGGCGACGAUCCGUAGCUGGUCUGAGAGGAUGAUCAGCCACACUGGAACUGAGACACGGUCCAGACUCCUACGGGAGGCAGCAGUGGGGAAUAUUGGACAAUGGGCGAAAGCCUGAUCCAGCCAUACCGCGUGGGUGAAGAAGGCCUUAGGGUUGUAAAGCCAUUUUGUUGGGAAAGAAAAGCAGCAGGUUAAUACCCCGCUGUUCUGACGGUACCCAAAGAAUAAGCACCGGCUAACUUCGUG
rnacentral:rRNA from 1 species